UACGGAGGGGGGCUAGCGUUGUUCGGAAUUACUGGGCGUAAAGCGCACGUAGGCGGCUUUGUAAGUUAGAGGUGAAAGCCCAGGGCUUAACCCCUGGAAUUGCCUUUAAGACUGCAUCGCUAGAAUCGUGGAGAGGUGAGUGGAAUUCCGAGUGUAGAGGUGAAAUUCGUAGAUAUUCGGAAGAACACCAGUGGCGAAGGCGACUCACUGGACACGUAUUGACGCUGAGGUGCGAAAGCGUGGGGAGCAAACAGG
rnacentral:rRNA from 1 species